rnacentral:rRNA from 1 species
GCAAGUCGAACGAGAAAGGGAUUGCUUGCAAUCCCGAGUAGAGUGGCGCACGGGUGAGUAACACGUAGAUAAUCUACCUUCAAGCCUGGAAUAACUAUUCGAAAGGGUAGCUAAUACCGGAUAAAGUUGAUUGGCAUAAGCCAAUUCAUGAAAGAUUGCCUCUUCUUGAAAGCAAUUGUUUGGAGACGAGUUUGCGGACCAUUAGCUUGUUGGUGGGGUAAAAGCCUACCAAGGCUACGAUGGUUAGCUGGUCUGAGAGGAUGAUC